GCUUGCUCUCUGAUGGUAUGUGGCGAACGGGUGAGUAAUAUAUCGGAACGUGCCCAGUAAUGGGGAAUAACUAGCCGAAAGGUUAGCUAAUACCGCAUACGACCUACGGGUGAAAGCAGGGGAUCUUAGGACUCUUGCGUUAUUGGAGCGGCCGAUAUCUGAUUAGCUUGUCGGUGGGGUAAAAGCCUACCAAGGUCAACGAUCAGUAGCUGGUCUGAGAGGACGAUCAGCCACACUGGAACUGAGACACGGUCCAGACUCCUACGGGAGGCAGCAGUGGGGAAUUUUGGACAAUGGGGGAAACCCUGAUCCAGCCAUCCCGCGUGAGUGAAGAAGGCCUUCGGGUUGUAAAGCUCUUUCCAAAGUGAAGCAAAACUUAUUUUCGUACUAUGUUAUAAGUAUGACGGUAACUUUAGAAGAAGCACCCG
rnacentral:rRNA from 1 species